rnacentral:rRNA from 1 species
CUGAUCCAGCCAUGCCGCGUGUGUGAAGAAGGCCUUAUGGUUGUAAAGCACUUUAAGCGAGGAGGAGGGUACUGGUAUUAAUACUACCAGCUACUGGACGUUACUCGCAGAAUAAGCACCGGCUAACUCUGUGCCAGCAGCCGCGGUAAUACAGAGGGUGCGAGCGUUAAUCGGAUUUACUGGGCGUAAAGCGUGCGUAGGCGGCUAAUUGAGUCGGAUGUGAAAUCCCCGAGCUUAACUUGGGAAUUGCAUUCGAUACUGGUUAGCUAGAGUGUGGGAGAGGAUGGUAGAAUUCCAGGUGUAGCGGUGAAAUGCGUAGAGAUCUGGAGGAAUACCGAUGGCGAAGGCAGCCAUCUGGCCUAACACUGACGCUGAGGUACGAAAGCAUGGGGAGCAAACAGGAUUAGAUACCCUGGUAGUCCAUGCCGUAAACGAUGUCUACUAGCCGUUGGUCUCUUUGAGGGAUUAGUGGCGCAGCUAACGCGAUAAGUAGACCGCCUGG